rnacentral:tRNA from 1 species
GCGCGGUUAGCUCAGUCUGGUAGAGCAUCUCAUUGACGUUGAGAGGGUCAGGGGUUCGAGUCCCUUACCGCGCA